AAAAAAAAAGGAAAAAAAAAAAAGGUUGUUGAUGGUUGUAGCUUAAGAAAUGAACAAUUUGGAUUUGGGAUGCUGCUGUAUUUUGUCCCUAUAGAAAGAUCAAUGCUUAGAAGUUAAAGUUGUAUUCGGCUUGAAUUGUAUAGAGAGGUUAAUUCAGUUCCUGGUCUUGGAAUGCUGCAAGUCUUUGACAGUUGUAUUGGUAUUAUAAAACUUUUUCUUCCUUGAAACUCAAUUUUUUGGAAUCAUUUUAUAUAAGAGCACACUUAAUUAAUUCUGACUUGA
rnacentral:misc_RNA from 1 species